AUCAACGAAGUUAAGCAACGUCGAGCCUAGCGAGUACUUAGAUGGGUGACCGCUUGGGAAUACCAAGUGCUGUA